rnacentral:snoRNA from 1 species
AAGACGAUACUUGGCAGGGAUCAUUUCUAUAGUUCGUUACUAGAAAAGAUUCUCUGAUCUCAUAGAGUACUGGAAACCACCAGGAGGAAAUGAAACAUUCUCUCCUGGGUGUGAAGCUGGCUCUUGGUGUUGCUUUGCUGUAACUGCCUUUUGUCAUUGGAAGAGUGAGGGGGAGAGAACACCGAGUG